GAAUGUGAGGGCAAUCUAGCUGUGACAUCUGUCACCCCAUUGAUAGCCAGCAUUGAUUAGGCUGAUCGGUCUGGCUAAACGGGUGUCUCCUCCCUCCCUCACUGCUCCAUGUGCGUCCCUCCUGAAACUGCGCACUUGGUGGAAGAGGACAACGUCCCAGGAGUGUGCCAAGAUCACCAAUCUUGAGUCCUGGAUAUACAAUCGCUGUGCUUCCCUGCUCCAUUUACCUAGUGAACCAGCUGCACCUUCUCCAGAAGGUAUCAGAUCUGUACUAUGAUGGCACAUGCCUUGAUUA
rnacentral:snRNA from 11 species